GGGCGAAUGGUUUAGUGGUAUAAUACUCCCUUAGCAUCAUCCGGGUUUCUGCUCGUAGCUUGGGAGUGGUCCGGGGUUCGAUUCCCCGUUUGUCCA